UUAAGUACCAGUUGUAUACUGGGAUCGAUGUAAUUAUUAUGUGUACAGUAAGGACAAUGAUAGAAUUCAUAAUCCAAACACAAUUUCAGAUCAAAAAUAUAUAAUCCACACAGGUGAAUGACAGUAGAAAAGUUUUUGCAUUUAUAGGUCAUUAGUUCAGUUCUGAAGUUGGCAUGUCAUUGAAUACAUUGUCCUGGUUCUAUGGCUGUUGGGAUUAAGUUCCAGAUGAAUCUGGUUCAGUCCCACACAGAAUCCUAAUUGUUUUGCACUGUUGGAUACAGACAAUUGUAACUGUUGCUUCAAUUGAUCUCACAGAACAAAAUACAAACUCUGCUCUCAGUUUCACAGUUGUGUGGCUAUUAGGAGGAAGGAACAUUGUCCACCUGGUCCAACAAGUAUAACAUACUACACAGGUAAGAAUGGAAAAAUACACAUAAAAUAGCUGAAAAUAAAUAACACAUAAAACAUACACACAUACAAAAAAAACAGUUGAAAAAACACAAUUACUUUCCAUUUUUUUUUCUCAUUUUCUUUUUCCCUUCAUUUUUUUUUUAUUAUAAAAUCAGUCAGAAAUAAUAAGGCAGGCAAAUUGAAUGGAAGCAAAUCAGUUCCUUGUUUCUUCUCUUUUUUUUUCCUUCUUUUUAGCAAUAAAAGUAUUAAUUGGUGUUGUUGCUGUCUUCUAUUUAAUUGAUGAUGAUUUUGGUGCAGUAGUUGGUGUGGUUCUUUUCUCUAAGACAAUGGUUCUAAAUUUUAUAAAUGUAAAAAAUAAAUGGACUAUAGGUCUUUCUGAGCUUUUAAUGCAUUCCAGACAAAAAUUUGUCAAGAUUGCUGGUGAAGGGUUCAUUUUAAAAAAAGGGACAGGAAAAAUUUAAAAUAAACUCAAAAUGAAAUCACUAACUAUUGUUAAAUCUAAAGAGACUCAAAAUUUUGAGAAAAA